rnacentral:rRNA from 1 species
GCCCUUAGAGUUUGAUCCUGGCUCAGGACGAACGCUGGCGGCGUGCUUAACACAUGCAAGUCGAGCGAAGCUGCCCUGGUAACUUUGUUACCGGGGUUGACUAAGCGGCGAACGGGUGAGUAACACGUGGAUAACCUGCCCGGAAGUCCGGGAUAACAGCUCGAAAGGGCUGCUAAUACCGGAUAAUGUGAGGAGGUAACAGCCUUCUUACCAAAGCGUCUAGCGCUUCCGGAUGGGUUCGCGGCUCAUUAGCUAGUUGGUAGGGUAAAGGCCUACCAAGGCGACGAUGGGUAGCUGGUCUGAGAGGACGAUCAGCCACACUGGGACUGAGACACGGCCCAGACUCCUACGGGAGGCAGCAGUGGGGAAUCUUGCGCAAUGGGGGAAACCCUGACGCAGCGACGCCGUGUGGGCGAAGAAGGCCUUCGGGUUGUAAAGCCCUGUCUGGGGGGAUUAUGGUGACUGUACCCCCAGUAGGAAGCCCCGGCUAACUACGUGCCAGCAGCCGCGGUAAGACGUAGGGGGCGAGCGUUGUCCGGAAUUACUGGGCGUAAAGGGCGCGCAGGC